AUGUUCCCAUUCCGAUUCAAGAGGAAGCAGUUCCCCAUCAGACUCAGCUUUGCCAUGACAAUCAACAAGGCGCAAGGGCAGACCAUCCCGAUUGUCGGCAUGUACCUACCGGAAUCAAUAUUCUCCCAUGGUCAGCUGUACGUGGCGUUGUCCAGAGCUACCGCAAAGUCCAACAUUAAGAUUCUCGCAUUCAAGGACAAGAGGAAGGAACAGAGCAAAAAUUCCUUAAUAACGACUACGCAGAACAUAGUAUAUAAGGAAGUUCUUAAUGCUUGA
rnacentral:rRNA from 1 species